ensembl:snoRNA small nucleolar RNA, C/D box 98
GGGUAAUGAUGUUUAAACCUAUUCCAUUGCUGAAACGUAUUGUGGAAAACAAAAGCUGAACUC